rnacentral:rRNA from 1 species
AUUGAACGCUGGCGGCAUGCCUUACACAUGCAAGUCGAACGGUAACAGGUCUUCGGAUGCUGACGAGUGGCGAACGGGUGAGUAAUACAUCGGAACGUGCCUAGUAGUGGGGGAUAACUACUCGAAAGAGUGGCUAAUACCGCAUGAGAUCUACGGAUGAAAGCAGGGGAUCGCAAGACCUUGUGCUACUAGAGCGGCCGAUGGCAGAGUAGGUAGUUGGUGGGAUAAAAGCUUACCAAGCCGACGAUCUGUAGCUGGUCUGAGAGGACGAUCAGCCACACUGGGACUGAGACACGGCCCAGACUCCUACGUGAGGCAGCAGUGGGGAAUUUUGGACAAUGGGCGAAAGCCUGAUCCAGCAAGGCCGCGUGCAGGAUGAAGGCCUUCGGGUUGUAAACUGCUUUUGUACGGAACGAAAAGCCCCAGGUUAAUACCCUGGGGUCAUGACGGUACCGUAAGAAUAAGCACCGGCUAACUACGUGCCAGCCGCCGCCGUAA